rnacentral:rRNA from 1 species
GACGAACCGUGCGAACGUUGUUCGGAAUCACUGGGCUUAAAGGGCGCGUAGGCGGGCUGCCAAGUCCGUGGUGAAAUCCUCCGGCCCAACCGGAGAACGGCCUCGGAUACUGGCGGCCUGGAGGGGGGGUAGGGCGAGCGGAACUGUGGGUGGAGCGGUGAAAUGCGUUGAUAUCCACAGGAACUCCGGUGGCGAAGGCGGCUACGGCUGGACCCCACCUGACGCUGAGGCGCGAAAGCCAGGGAGCGAACGG